rnacentral:misc_RNA from 1 species
GCUAGACCUAGCUGCUAUCCNAGCUCCAUCUAUCAAUGGAUAAGAUUUGGAUCUUAGUGUAGUCGAGUUUUUAAAAUUAAAAAAGGAGCAAUAACCAAUUUCUUGUUCUAUCGAGCGGGUUGGUAUUGCUCCUUUCAUUUUUUUUUAUAUGGAUUAUUAUGAGUCAUAAGUUUUACUUACUUUCCCCAUAAACAAAAAUGAAAGUAAAAAAAAAAAUGAUGAAAUUUAUAAGUGUAAUUUGGACCAUUUUCAAGUAAGGAACGAAAUAGGGGCGGAUGUAG